rnacentral:rRNA from 1 species
AUUGAACGCUGGCGGCAGGCUUAACACAUGCAAGUCGAGCGAGCGGCGGACGGGUGAGUAAUGUCUGGGAAACUGCCUGAUGGAGGGGGAUAACUACUGGAAACGGUAGCUAAUAACGCAUACCAUCAGAUGUGCCCAGAUGGGAUUAGCUAGUAGGUGGUGCAAAGGCUAACCUAGGCGACGAUCCCGAGCUGGUCGGAGAGGAUGCCCAGCCACACGGGAACUGAGACACGGUCCAGACUCCUACGGGAGGCAGCAGUGGGGAAUAUUGCACAAUGGGGGCAAGCCUGAUGCAGCCAUGCCGCGUGUGUGAAGAAGGCCUUCGGGUUGUAAAGCACUUUCAGCGAGGAGGCGUUACUCGCAGAAGAAGCACCGGCUAACUCCGUGCCAGCAGCCGCGGUAAUAC